rnacentral:rRNA from 1 species
UACGUAGGUGGCAAGCGUUAUCCGGAAUUACUGGGCGUAAAGCGCACGCAGGCGGUCUUUUAAGUUUGACGUGAAAGCUCCCGGCUUAACUGGGAGAGGUCGUUGAAGACUGGAAGACUUGAGGCAAUGAGAGGGGUGUAGAAUUCCCGGUGUAGUGGUGGAAUGCGUAGAUAUCGGGGGGAAUACCAGUGGCGAAGGCGGCAUCCUGGACCAACACUGACGCUGAGGAGCGAAAGCCAGGGGAGCAAACGGG